GGUUGAUCCUGCCAGUAGCAUAUGCUUGUCUGACAGAUUAAGCCAUGCAAGUGCAAGUCUAAGCGACAUAGGGUGAAACUGCGAACGGCUCAAUAGCACAGAGAUGAUCAGCUUGACAGUACCUCGCUACAUGGAUAACCGUGGUAAUUCUAGAGCUAAUACAUGCACGACGCGCGACGCCUUGAAUUGGUUUGGGGUGGAGGGCGGUAUUUAUUAGAUCCGACCGGCACACUAGGAGACUAGAGUGGGGGUGAGUCACGAUAACUGUACGGAUCGUAGGACCAGGCGUCGA
rnacentral:rRNA from 1 species